GAUGAAGAACGCAGCGAAAUGCGAUAAGUAAUGUGAAUUGCAGAAUUCAGUGAAUCAUCGAAUCUUUGAACGCACCUUGCGCUCUUUGGUAUUCCGAAGAGCAUGCCUGUUUGAGUGUCAUGAAAAUAUCAACCUUGACUUGGGUUUUGUGCUCUAGUCUCGGCUUGGAAUUGGGUGCUUGCCGCUUUUACGAGCGGCUCACCUUAAAUGUAUUAGCUGGAUCUGUCUUUGAGACUUGGUUUGACUUGGCGUAAUAAGUAUUUCGCUAAGGACAUUCUUCGGAGUGGCCUCGUUUCUAGGACGCUUGUCCGCCUUCCAAUACAAGUUCCACCUCGUGGACAUGACUUUUUAUUAUCUGGCCUCAAAUCAGGUAGGACUACCCGCUGAACUUAAGCAUAUCAAUAAGCGGAGGA
rnacentral:misc_RNA from 1 species